UCCGAGGUGGUAGAACUGGUAGACAUGCCUGUCUCAAGAACAGGUGGGAGAAUGCCCAUGCGGGUUCGACUCCCGCUCCCGGCACCA
rnacentral:tRNA from 1 species